GGGUUGUGAGGUUAAGCGACUAAGCGUACACGGUGGAUGCCUAGGCAGUCAGAGGCGAUGAAGGGCGUGCUAAUCUGCGAAAAGCGUCGGUAAGCUGAUAUGAAGCGUUAUAACCGACGAUACCCGAAUGGGGAAACCCAGUGCAAUUCGUUGCACUAUUGCAUGGUGAAUACAUAGCCAUGCAAGGCGAACCGGGGGAACUGAAACAUCUAAGUACCCCGAGGAAAAGAAAUCAACCGAGAUUCCCCCAGUAGCGGCGAGCGAACGGGGAAGAGCCCAGAGUCUGAAUCAGUUUGUGUGUUAGUGGAAGCGUCUGGAAAGUCGCACGGUACAGGGUGAUAGUCCCGUACACCAAAACACACUUGCUGUGAACUCGAUGAGUAGGGCGGGACACGUGACAUCCUGUCUGAAUAUGGGGGGACCAUCCUCCAAGGCUAAAUACUCCUGACUGACCGAUAGUGAACCAGUACCGUGAGGGAAAGGCGAAAAGAACCCCGGCGAGGGGAGUGAAAUAGAACCUGAAACCGUGUACGUACAAGCAGUGGGAGCCUACUUUGUUGGGUGACUGCGUACCUUUUGUAUAAUGGGUCAGCGACUUAUAUUUUGUAGCAAGGUUAACCGAAUAGGGGAGCCGUAGGGAAACCGAGUCUUAACUGGGCGUCUAGUUGCAAGGUAUAGACCCGAAACCCGGUGAUCUAGCCAUGGGCAGGUUGAAGGUUGGGUAACACUAACUGGAGGACCGAACCGACUAAUGUUGAAAAAUUAGCGGAUGACUUGUGGCUGGGGGUGAAAGGCCAAUCAAACCGGGAGAUAGCUGGUUCUCCCCGAAAGCUAUUUAGGUAGCGCCUCGUGAACUCAUCUUCGGGGGUAGAGCACUGUUUCGGCUAGGGGGUCAUCCCGACUUACCAAACCGAUGCAAACUCCGAAUACCGAAGAAUGUUAUCACGGGAGACACACGGCGGGUGCUAACGUCCGUCGUGAAGAGGGAAACAACCCAGACCGCCAGCUAAGGUCCCAAAGUCAUGGUUAAGUGGGAAACGAUGUGGGAAGGCAUAGACAGCCAGGAUGUUGGCUUAGAAGCAGCCAUCAUUUAAAGAAAGCGUAAUAGCUCACUGGUCGAGUCGGCCUGCGCGGAAGAUGUAACGGGGCUAAACCAUGCACCGAAGCUGCGGCAGCGACACUUAGGUGUUGUUGGGUAGGGGAGCGUUCUGUAAGCCGUUGAAGGUGACCUGUGAGGGUUGCUGGAGGUAUCAGAAGUGCGAAUGCUGACAUAAGUAACGAUAAUGCGGGUGAAAAACCCGCACGCCGGAAGACCAAGGGUUCCUGUCCAACGUUAAUCGGGGCAGGGUGAGUCGACCCCUAAGGCGAGGCUGAAAAGCGUAGUCGAUGGGAAACAGGUUAAUAUUCCUGUACUUGGUGUUACUGCGAAGGGGGGACGGAGAAGGCUAGGCUAGCCGGGCGACGGUUGUCCCGGUUUAAGCAUGUAGGCGGAGUGACUUGGUAAAUCCGGUUGCUUAUCAACGCUGAGGUGUGAUGACGAGCCACUACGGUGGUGAAGUAGUUGAUGCCAAGCUUCCAGGAAAAGCCUCUAAGCAUCAGGUAACAUUAAAUCGUACCCCAAACCGACACAGGUGGUCAGGUAGAGAAUACUCAGGCGCUUGAGAGAACUCGGGUGAAGGAACUAGGCAAAAUGGUGCCGUAACUUCGGGAGAAGGCACGCUGGCAUUAGGUAAUGGGACUUGCUCCCGGCGCCGAAGCCAGUCGCAGAUACCAGCUGGCUGCAACUGUUUAAUAAAAACACAGCACUGUGCAAACACGAAAGUGGACGUAUACGGUGUGACGCCUGCCCGGUGCUGGAAGGUUAAUUGAUGGGGUCAGCCGCAAGGCGAAGCUCUUGAUCGAAGCCCCAGUAAACGGCGGCCGUAACUAUAACGGUCCUAAGGUAGCGAAAUUCCUUGUCGGGUAAGUUCCGACCUGCACGAAUGGCGUAAUGAUGGCCAGGCUGUCUCCACCCGAGACUCAGUGAAAUUGAACUCGCUGUGAAGAUGCAGUGUACCCGCGGCAAGACGGAAAGACCCCGUGAACCUUUACUAUAGCUUGACACUGAACAUUGAGCCUUGAUGUGUAGGAUAGGUGGGAGGCAUUGAAGUGUGGACGCCAGUCUGCAUGGAGCCAACCUUGAAAUACCACCCUUUAAUGUUUGAUGUUCUAACUCGGCCCCGUGAUCCGGGGUGAGGACAGUGUCUGGUGGGUAGUUUGACUGGGGCGGUCUCCUCCCAAAGAGUAACGGAGGAGCACGAAGGUUAGCUAAUCACGGUCGGACAUCGUGAGGUUAGUGCAAAGGCAUAAGCUAGCUUGACUGCGAGAGUGACGGCUCGAGCAGGUACGAAAGUAGGUCUUAGUGAUCCGGUGGUUCUGAAUGGAAGGGCCAUCGCUCAACGGAUAAAAGGUACUCCGGGGAUAACAGGCUGAUACCGCCCAAGAGUUCAUAUCGACGGCGGUGUUUGGCACCUCGAUGUCGGCUCAUCACAUCCUGGGGCUGAAGUAGGUCCCAAGGGUAUGGCUGUUCGCCAUUUAAAGUGGUACGCGAGCUGGGUUUAGAACGUCGUGAGACAGUUCGGUCCCUAUCUGCCGUGGGCGUUGGAAGAUUGAGAGGGGCUGCUCCUAGUACGAGAGGACCGGAGUGGACGAAUCACUGGUGUUCGGGUUGUCAUGCCAAUGGCAUUGCCCGGUAGCUAAAUUCGGAAGAGAUAACCGCUGAAAGCAUCUAAGCGGGAAACUUGCCUCGAGAUGAGUCUUCCCUGGGGCUUUAAGCCCCCUGAAGGAACGUUAAAGACUAUGACGUUGAUAGGCUGGGUGUGUAAGUGCAGCGAUGCAUUGAGCUAACCAGUACUAAUGAUCCGUGAGGCUUAACCUUACAACACCAAAGGUGUUUUAG
rnacentral:rRNA from 1 species